UCCCUUUAAAAUUACCAUUGCAUAAUGCUUGUUUCUACAAAUACCACAACGUAUCAAUUCUCUUGAAAAAUACCAAAACCCAAAGAAAAUAGCCCAUGUCGUAUUUUUCAUUGAAAUAUUUUGAAGGGGGCACAAAGGGAAAGGAAAGGGUCCUCUUCGAAAAAAAAGGGUUUUUGUUUUUCUGAUUAGCACAGUAACACAUUGUAGAAGGGUUUUUGGAAUUGGCAUUAGCAGGCAGCAGCAGCAGACGACGACGAUGGGAGAAAGAGAAGAAGCUUUGAAAGUAGUGGAGAUUCCCGGCAGGGGAAGAUCACUGGUGGCAUCUCAGCCGCUUAAGGGUGGUCAAAUAGUGCUCAAAGACUCUCCAAUCAUUCUUUACUCUGCUCUACCUCUCAUCCCUGCUUCUUCUUCCUACUGCGGUCACUGCUUCAGAACCUUGCCAUUGCCGCCGCAGCCAAUACCAUCGUGCCCCAACUGCAACUCAGAACGGUUCUGCAACCACAACUGUCUCUCCGCAGCCUCCACCUCCACUCACACCCCUUGGCUCUGCCAAUCACUGCUCCGUCUCCGCCACCACCAUCACUCUUCCUCACUCUCCCUAGAGCACCAACUCCAAGCUCGUUUCCUAUUAGCCGCUCACAACCUUGCUAACCUCUCUUCCCCCCACUUCCAAACUCUGCUCUCUCUUCAGGGUCAGUCCGAUGAUCCUGAAUCUGCUGCCGCUGCCCAAUUCAUUCUCUCUCUGAUUUCAUCAGUCUGCCCUCCUCCGUCGUCGGGUUGGUUCUCGUUGGAACUCUCGGCGGCGUUACUGGCCAAAGACAAACUCAACGGGUUUGGGUUGAUGGAGCCUUUCUCCGAGAGUGCCCAGAGAUCCGUAAGAGCUUAUGGGAUCUACCCAAAAGCCUCACUAUUCAAUCACGAUUGCCUUCCCAAUGCGUGUAGGUUUGACUAUGUCGAUUCCGCUUCUCCCUUUGAUAACAACAGCAACAAUACUGAUAUCAUCGUUAGAAUGAUCCAUGAUGUUCCACAGGGACGGGAAGUUUGCUUGAGUUAUUUCCCCGUUAACGAGAAUUUUCCCAGCAGGCAGAAAAGGCUGAGGGAGGACUAUGGCUUUGGUUGUGACUGUGACCGCUGCAGGGUCGAAGCCCAGUGGUCCGACCAUGAGGGAGAGGAAGAGCAGGGUCACGGGGAAGAGGAAGAAGAAGAAGAAGAAGGGGAAGAGCUCAUGGAUGAAGAUGUUGAUCAAACCAUGGCUUCUUCUGCAGAGCCUGAGCCUGAAUCUGAUUUCCCACAUGCAUAUUUCUUCGUAAGAUACAUGUGUGAUCGAAACAACUGUUGGGGCACACUAGCACCUUUACCAACUCCUAAAUCUAAUGUUAUGGAGUGUAAUGUCUGCGGAAAUCUCAAAAAUGAUGACCAACAACUAUCCAUGGACGAUGCUUGAUUGCUUGCUGUUUGUUUUCAUUAAUCAAUGCCUUUUUUGCUAUGUUUGAAAAGAUCAGGCUCGUUCAUUUAUCACGUGUUGACUCUUUCUGGCAGUCUCUUUCACCUAUCCUACGUCUAUGUUGGAUUUCAGUCAGCUUCAACUCAACUCAUUCUUAACAACAAUUCAUAUUCGGUUGGGGACCUAUUCUGUGAUUCAAAUUUACAACACGUAGAAAAGGGAGUGGCUUUUAAUUUGUUAACAAGUGGAAAGUGGAAAACACUGUCAGCAGCUAUUUCUUAGGUAGAGGAAUAUAUUCAUAUUCAUUCAUGUCGCAAAUGUGUACAAUAAAUAAAACAAUAAGAAAAGAAUGCACAAAAUGUGUGAGUUAUCAGUAAUUAGCAUUUUUUUUUAUUUUUUAUUAUGUUGAUUUUGUUUGAUGUUUUACGUGUUGUUCGAUUCUCCGUUUCAUACAUAAAAAAUAAUAAUAUUUAUAAUGAAUAUUUUGGAUAGUGAA